rnacentral:rRNA from 1 species
UACGUAGGGUGCGAGCGUUGUCCGGAAUUACUGGGCGUAAAGCGUGCGCAGGCGGUUCGUUGUGUCGGCGGUGAAAGCCCUGGGCUUAACCUGGGAAGUGCAUCGCAAACUAUGCAACUGGAGUAUAAGAGAGGGUGGCGGAAUUUCCGGUGUAGCGGUGAAAUGCGUAGAGAUCGGAAGGAACGUCGAUGGCGAAGGCAGCCACCUGGCUUAAUACUGACGCUGAGGCGCGAAAGCGUGGGGAGCGAACAGG